rnacentral:rRNA from 1 species
UACGUAGGGGGCUAGCGUUGUCCGGAUUUAUUGGGCGUAAAGAGCGUGUAGGCGGCUUUACAGGUCCGUUGUGAAAACUCGAGGCUCAACCUCGAGACGCCGGUGGAAACCGUAAAGCUAGAGUCCGGAAGAGGAGAGUGGAAUUCCUGGUGUAGCGGUGAAAUGCGCAGAUAUCAGGAAGAACACCCGUGGCGAAGGCGGCUCUCUGGGACGGUACUGACGCUGAGACGCGAAAGCGUGGGGAGCGAACAGG